CUCCGGCCAGCUUGAGCAAUGUAGAUCCUGAUGAGCGCUCCCAGGCAGGCAUUUGCCCCGGUACAACGCCUCAUCAGAGCGGUGCAUGGCAAGCCCACAUGAAGGACCAAUGCAGUGGCUGAACACUGGGAAGGAACUGGCACUUUAAGUCUGGACAUCUGAAACUUGCAUGCUGCAGCCCCUAAUGAAUGAAUGAACCCAGGUAUCACAACAAAAAAGAGAGACAAAAAAAAUCAUGUGCCUCCUGAUGAAAGAACACAACUGCCACCUCACCUUCUCAAAGAAGCCAAACCUGAAUCUGAUCAAGCCACUGGAUCCAGCUGCCAAUUUGCAGGAAAUAUAGGACACAGGAACAUGCACAAUGGAUUGGAUUGAAUGAUACAGGGAUGGACAGAUAUGUGAUAAAUCAAAUAGAGCAAAAUGGUAAUUGC
rnacentral:lncRNA from 1 species